ACAAAAAAGAUGCCGAAUUCCUUGAAAGGAAACGGGGGAACCAUUUCGGGUGAAUUGAUCCCGAUUGCGAAUGCGCGAAUCGGGGGUCAUAGGGAGCCUUCAACCGAACCCCACAGCUAACCUCGUAGGCUACGGAAGGAGCUUUA
rnacentral:sRNA from 2 species